rnacentral:rRNA from 1 species
GGGCGUGCCGGGGAACCGGGACUUUGACUUUGAAAAAAUUAGAGUGUUCAAAGCAGGCAUUUGCUCGGAUACAUUAGCAUGGAAUAAUGGAAUAGGACGUCGCGGCCUUAUUUCGUUGGUUUCUAAGGCCGCCGUAAUGAUUGACAGGGACGGUCGGGGGCGUCAGUAUUCAAUUGUCAGAGGUGAAAUUCUUGGAUUUAUUGAAGACUAGCUGCUGCGAAAGCGUUCGCCAAGGACGUUUUCAUUGAUCAGUGAACGAAAGCUGGGGGAUCGAAGACGAUCAGAUACCGUCGUAGUCUCAGCCGUAAACUAUGCCGACUAGGGAUCGGGCGGUGUUACAUUUGACCCGCUCGGCACCUUACGAGAAAUCAAAGUUUUUGGGUUCUGGGGGGAGUAUGGUCGCAAGGCUGAAACUUAAAGAAAUUGACGGAAGGGCACCACCAGGCGUGAACGCGGGACUCCGCGCCUGAGAGCGGCCGGAGACGGUGCGUGGUGCCCGCGAAGAAGCGCUAGUCCGGGGCCAAAACGCGCCAGAGUGCGCCAGAAAGCCCCGGGCGACAUGCCCAAAUUGCGGGGACGUCCUGAGAGCUCCAGCUACCAAACCGCGCGCCGAAAGGCCGCGGCGGCCGGGCUAACGGCCCCGGGUACGGUAAAAACGCUGCGAGAUUGGGCAACCUGCAGCCAAACCCCUAAGUCCCGGGCGGGAUACGGGGGAGGUCCAGAGGCCAGACGGGCGUGGGUGGGCUUUCGAGCCCGCCUAAGGUAUGGUCCGGAAGCCGGCGAGAGCCGGCGGCAAGGCGGGAGCCUGCGGCUUAAUUUGACUCAACACGGGGAAACUUACCAGGUCCAGACGCAAGAAGGAUUGACAGAUUGAGAGCUCUUUCUUGAUUUUGCGGAAGGUGGUGCAUGGCCGUUCUUAGUUGGUGGAGUGAUUUGUCUGCUUAAUUGCGAUAACGAACGAGACCUUCACCUGCUAAAUAGCACAGCUGGCUCCGGCCGGUCAAAGGCUUCUUAGAGGGACUAUCGGCUCAAGCCGAUGGAAGUUGGAGGCAAUAACAGGC